rnacentral:rRNA from 1 species
AAGGCUUGACAUGUAAGGUAGCAAUACUAAACUAGGGAAACCUAGUUGAAUUACACAGGUGCUGCAUGGCCGUCGUCAGUUCGUGCCGUGAGGUGUAUGGUUAAGUCCUACAACGAACGUAACCCUUGGGCUUAGUUGCCAGCAUUCAGUUGGGGACUCUAAGCCGACUGCAGAUAUGCCUAGCAUAUCUAUUACUGAGUAUCGAGGAGGAAGGAAGAUGACGUCGUAGGGUUCCGUCUAACG